UUGACUGCGAGCGUGACGGCGCGAGCAGGUGCGAAAGCAGGUCAUAGUGAUCCGGUGGUUCUGAAUGGAAGGGCCAUCGCUCAACGGAUAAAAGGUACUCCGGGGAUAACAGGCUGAUACCGCCCAAGAGUUCAUAUCGACGGCGGUGUUUGGCACCUCGAUGUCGGCUCAUCACAUCCUGGGGCUGAAGUAGGUCCCAAGGGUAUGGCUGUUCGCCAUUUAAAGUGGUACGCGAGCUGGGUUUAGAACGUCGUGAGACAGUUCGGUCCCUAUCUGCCGUGGGCGCUGGAGAACUGAGGGGGGCUGCUCCUAGUACGAGAGGACCGGAGUGGACGCAUCACUGGUGUUCGGGUUGUCAUGCCAAUGGCACUGCCCGGUAGCUAAAUGCGGAAGAGAUAAGUGCUGAAAGCAUCUAAGCACGAAACUUGCCCCGAGAUGAGUUCUCCCUGAGACUUUAGGUCUCCUGAAGGAACGUUGAAGACGACGACGUUGAUAGGCCGGGUGUGUAAGCGCAGCGAUGCGUUGAGCUAACCGGUACUAAUGAACCGUGAGGCUUAACCUUACAACGCCGAAG
rnacentral:rRNA from 1 species